rnacentral:lncRNA from 1 species
UUAGAUCAAAAUCUUCUUCUAGAUCUUACUUCCUAAAACAAAAAGAAACCAAAAACAAAUAAAAUUCAGUAGAAAAAUCCAAAAUACUCUAUUUUAUUCAAUUUCUCAGCUAAUAUCUGCUUUUAGUAGCUGAUUUGCAUUUUCUAGUUCAAUUUUCUAGUAAUUUGAGGUUUCAGAAGGUAUUCCUGGUUGGUUGGAGUCAGACUGGGGUUCAAUCGAGUCAUUUUGGCCAUCAGUCGAGUGUCGCAUUUCUGUGGUGUGUAAUUGGUUUUAGGUGAAGUUGUUUUUGGUUCGAAAUUACUCCAAAUUGCUGGUUAUUGCUGUUUGUGACUGUUGGAUAUUAGCUGUUGCUAUCUGCUGCUGACUUCUCCUUUCUUAUUUCGUUUCAAUUGCCAGGUACAUGUUCUGAAUUUCAGUAUCAUGUAGAACAUCAGCUGAUAAUGAAAUGCGAUGGAAGCAUAAGAUUUGAUUUAUUAUUACUUCCAGAUCCUUUUUUAGCUUUGUACUGACUGGAUUGUGCACAUUUAGAUACACCUGUAGUCGGAUAGAUAUUAAUAAUACAUGAAGUGUUGAUGUAGUUUUAAUUUUACUUACAUGAACAAUAGACAUAUGGCAUGAAUAAUUAGGACUGUUUUUAGAUUUAUUUGGACUGUUUAUGAUUAUCAAUUUGUAUUGGUCUGUUAAUUAGCCUAGGGUAAACGUAUUCAGUAGUUAGUUGAAUUGUUAAUAGCACAAAACUAGAAAUCGACUCCAGGACCUCGUGUGUAGUUGAAUAUUCGAAUAGAUCUUGUUAUGUUAAAAUGGAAUUUGAUUUGGACUGCACGUUUAUGGGUAUAAAAUCAAGUUAGAGGUUAUGCUGCAUGUUGUAGUUGAAUUCUGCUUUAAUGAUCAUCAUAAGCAAUCACAUAAAUGAUUUGAGAAACAUCAUUGGACAUGAUAUACAUUAGGAGAAACAAAUAAAUAGUUUAAGUAAUAAACCGUUUAAUCAAGCUGAAUCAUGAUUCGAGGCUGGACAUUGGAUUUGAACCCUAAAGUGUCUGUGAGGCUAAAUUAACUUUAAUGAGUUUCAAUAUCAAGAUCUAGCAUAUCCAUUUGUUGAAAUAAGUGGCGUUAUACUUUGGCCAAAUGGCUGAUAGGCCCGACCAUCGAUUUGGAGGAUUGGUUGGGCCGUUCAAUUUAUCAGCAGCCCGUUGGGCAGUUUUGUUCAUCUUCUUGGGUACAUGUUGGGAUCCAAAUGUGAAGGCUCAUGACAUUGUUGAUUUUGGGCUCAAUUUGUGCAAAAGAGGUGUUUUGCCUGAAGUUAGGUGUCCAUAUCCUAUUGUAUAUUUAAAGAUCUUUGUUUCCAGUCCUUUGUUUUAAAUUGAUUUUGGAACGUAAAAAAUGCUAAUGCCUUGAAAUCAUGUCAAAAUCAUUAGACUUAAUUCGUAGGAUAAAUGUGAGCUUUUAUAAUAUCAAUUUGUCACGGUUUUCUUUGUUAUUA